CCUUCGAUAGCUCAGCUGGAAGAGCGUGGGACUGUAACUGGAAGCCCACUUAUCCCAAGGCCACCGGUUCGACCCCGGUUCGAAGGA